GCGUGCUUAACACAUGCAAGUCGAACGAUGGAAGCUGAAGCUUUUGUUUUGGUGGAUUAGUGGCGAACGGGUGAGUAAUACGUGAGUAACCUGCCCUUGUCUUUGGGAUAAGCCUGGGAAACUGGGUCUAAUACCGGAUAUUCUGCUUCUGCCGCAUGGUGGGGGUUGGAAAGAUUUUUGGAUGGGGAUGGGCUCACGGCCUAUCAGCUUGUUGGUGGGGUGAUGGCCUACCAAGGCGUCGACGGGUAGCCGGCCUGAGAGGGUGACCGGCCACAUUGGGACUGAGAUACGGCCCAGACUCCUACGGGAGGCAGCAGUGGGGAAUAUUGCACAAUGGACGCAAGUCUGAUGCAGCGACGCCGCGUGGGGGAUGAAGGCUUUCGGGUUGUAA
rnacentral:rRNA from 1 species